CCUACGGGGGGCAGCAGUGGGGAAUAUUGGACAAUGGGCGAAAGCCUGAUCCAGCCAUGCCGCGUGUGUGAAGAAGGCCUUCGGGUUGUAAAGCACUUUCAGUGGGGAAGAAAGCCUUGGGGCUAAUACCCUCGAGGAAGGACAUCACCCACAGAAGAAGCACCGGCUAACUCCGUGCCAGCAGCCGCGGUAAUACGGAGGGUGCGAGCGUUAAUCGGAAUUACUGGGCGUAAAGCGCGCGUAGGCGGUCUGAUAAGCCGGUUGUGAAAGCCCCGGGCUCAACCUGGGAACGGCAUCCGGAACUGUCAGGCUAGAGUGCAGGAGAGGAAAGUAGAAUUCCCGGUGUAGCGGUGAAAUGCGUAGAGAUCGGGAGGAAUACCAGUGGCGAAGGCGGCCUUCUGGACUGACACUGACGCUGAGGUGCGAAAGCGUGGGUAGCAAACAGGAUUAGAUACCCCUGUAGUC
rnacentral:rRNA from 1 species